rnacentral:rRNA from 1 species
GUGAGGAAUAUUGGUCAAUGGGCGAGAGCCUGAACCAGCCAAGUCGCGUGAAGGAAGAAGGAUCUAUGGUUCGUAAACUUCUUUUGCAGGGGAAUAAAGUGCAGGACGUGUCCUGUUUUGUAUGUACCCUGAGAAUAAGGAUCGGCUAACUCCGUGCCAGCAGCCGCGGUAAUACGGAGGAUCCGAGCGUUAUCCUGAUUUAUUGGGUUUAAAGUGUGCGUAGGCGGACUGUUAAGUCAGUGGUGAAAUCCUGCAGCUUAACUGCAGAACUGCCAUUGAUACUGAUAGCCUUGAGUUAUGUAAAGGUAGGCGGAAUGUGUAAUGUAGCGGUGAAAUGCUUAGAUAUUACACAGAACACCAAUUGCGUAGGCAGCUUACUGAGCAGACACUGACGCUGAGGCACGAAAGCGUGGGGAUCGAACAGGAUUAGAAACCCUUGUAGUCC